GAUAUUAUCUUUUAGAAUAGGUACUUGGAUCCAUAGUAGUUCAAGAUGGAUAUUGGAAGAGGAUUAGGGAUAGGGAUUUUUGGCAUUAAAGAUUUUAAUUUUUUUUUUUUUUAAAGGAGGGAGGACAGGAGAGAAGAAGGUAGAAGGGCUAGAGGUUGAAAAGAAGGAAAAGGGUGGCAUUUGAAUUUUUGUAGAGAGGAACAAGAUUCAAGGCUGGUUUGAUGUUAUAAAAGCUACUUACAAAAUUUUCAUCU
rnacentral:lncRNA from 1 species